rnacentral:tRNA from 1 species
GGGAUUGUAGCUCAGUGGUAGAGCACUUGCCUAGUAUGUGUGAGGCACUGGGUUCGACCCUCAGUACCA